UACGUAGGGACCAAGCGUUGUUCGGAUUUACUGGGCGUAAAGGGCGCGUAGGCGGCGAUCCAAGUCAGAUGUGAAAGUCCUGGGCUUAACCUGGGGACUGCAUUUGAUACUGGGUUGCUUGAAUUCGGGAGAGGAUAGCGGAAUUCCCAGUGUAGAGGUGAAAUUCGUAGAUAUUGGGAAGAACACCGGUGGCGAAGGCGGCUAUCUGGACCGACAUUGACGCUGAGGCGCGAAAGCGUGGGGAGCAAACAGG
rnacentral:rRNA from 1 species